UACGAAGGGUGCAAGCGUUACUCGGAAUUACUGGGCGUAAAGCGUGCGUAGGUGGUUCGUUAAGUCUGAUGUGAAAGCCCUGGGCUCAACCUGGGAAUGGCACUGGAAACUGGCGACCUAGAGUGCGGUAGAGGGCAGUGGAAUUCCCGGUGUAGCAGUGAAAUGCGUAGAGAUCGGGAGGAACAUCUGUGGCGAAGGCGACUGCCUGGACCAGCACUGACACUGAGGCACGAAAGCGUGGGGAGCAAACAGG
rnacentral:rRNA from 1 species